GUGCUUGCUUCAGCAGCACAUAUACUAAAAUUGGAACAAUACAGAGAUUAGCAUGGCCCCUACACAAGGAUGAUAUGCUAAUUUGUGAAGCGUUUCAUGUUUUU